CAGAUAUUUAUAAAAAUAUAUUGGAGCUGCAGGCAGGCUUGUUCGCGAUAGGAGUUAAGCCACGAUAAGAGAUUUCAAAUAUCGUCGAAUUUUGGUUUUGAACGCUUUUGCAAAAAUUUGGAUAUAAUUUGAACAUCUUAAUUUUUUUUUUGACUUUAUAAGGAGGCAGGGAUCAAAUUUAAUGCUCAUUAAUAACGAGACGAAAAAUAUAUAAAUUAGAAUUAAAUUAAGAAAAUAGAUCUUCUAUUUUUAUACGUAGAAAGUAGACGUGAUUCGUUAAGUUAGAUAUUCGAAAUUGACGGAAUUUUCGAGGGUUAAGAAAAUUCAAAUGAAAUUUAAAGAUAAUGCACAGAAGAAAUAUUUAAGCGAAUAUUCAAGCAAAAGAUAAUACUCGGAAAAGACUUCGAUAAAGUUCACUCCAAUUAUUAACAGGCGGCCUUUGGAUAUAAUAAAUAAUUGGCGAAAUCGUGAACCGGCACUAAUGUCGUGAGGUAAAAACUAAAACCAAUACUAGUUGUUCCAGUGUACGUCCGAUUUGUUAGAUCGACUCA